rnacentral:rRNA from 1 species
UUCUGCUAAGUCGCAAGACGAUGUAUAGGAGCUGACGCCUGCCCGGUGCUGGAAGGUUAAGGGGAUCUGUUAGAGCAAUCGAAGCAGUGAACUUAAGCCCCAGUAAACGGCGGCCGUAACUAUAACGGUCCUAAGGUAGCGAAAUUCCUUGUCGGGUAAGUUCCGACCCGCACGAAAGGCGUAACGAUUUGGGCACUGUCUCAACAACAGACUCGGUGAAAUUGUAAUUCCGGUGAAGAUGCCGGAUACCUGCGACAGGACGGAAAGACCCCAUGGAGCUUUACUGUAGCUUGACAUUGGGUCUUGGUACUACAUGUACAGGAUAGGUGGGAGGCUUUGAAACCAGGACGCCAGUUUUGGCGGAGCCAUCCUUGGGAUACCACCCUUGUAGUACUGGGACUCUAACCAUAGGCCAUGAAUCUGGUCUUGGGACACUGUCAGGUGGGCAGUUUGACUGGGGCGGUCGCCUCCCAAAAGGUAACGGAGGCGCUCAAAGGUUCUCUCAGUACGGUCGGAAAUCGUACGUAGAGUGUAAAGGCAAAAGAGAGCUUGAUUGCAAGACAUACAGGUCGAGCAAGGAUGAAAAUCGGACUUAGUGAUCCGGUGGUUCUGCGUGGAAGGGCCAUCGCUCAACGGAUAAAAGCUACCCUGGGGAUAACAGGCUUAUCUCCCCCAAGAGUCCACAUCGACGGGGAGGUUUGGCACCUCGAUGUCGGCUCAUCACAUCCUGGGGCUGUAGUAGGUCCCAAGGGUUGGGCUGUUCGCCCAUUAAAGUGGUACGCGAGCUGGGUUCAGAACGUCGUGAGACAGUUCGGUCCCUAUCCGUCGCAGGCGUAGGAAAUUUGAGAAGACCUGUCCUUAGUACGAGAGGACCGGGAUGGACGUACCUCUGGUGUACCAGUUGUCCUGCCAAGGGCAUGGCUGGGUAGCUAUGUACGGAAUGGAUAAGCGCUGAAAGCAUCUAAGCGCGAAGCCAACUUCAAGAUAAGAUUUCCCACCGCAAGGGUAAGACCCCAGAAAGACUAUCUGGUUGAUAGGUCGAAGGUGUAAGUGCAGCAAUGUAUUUAGCUUAUCGAUACUAAUAGGUCGAGGACUUGACCAAU